GGAGUUAGCACGACGAUCGCGCGUGCCAAGCCGCAAGGCGGCGCGUGAGGAAAGUCCGAGCUGCGUAGAGCAGGGUGCUGGAUAACGUCCAGUGAGGGUGACCUUAAGGAAAGUGCCACAGAAAACAAACCGCCGUUUUUCGAAACGGUAAGGCUGAAACAGUGCGGUAAGAGCGCACUAGGGACCAGGUGACUGGCUCUCUUGGUAAACCCCACCCGCAGCAAGACCUAAUAGGGGAAGGAUGAGGUUGCUCGCUGACUUCCCGGGUUGGUCGCUGGAGGCGUCAGGCAACUGACGUCCUAGAUAGAUGAUCGUCCUCGACAGAACUCGGCUUAUCGCUGACUCCGCCU
rnacentral:RNase_P_RNA from 1 species